rnacentral:rRNA from 1 species
CAGCCGCCGCGGUAAUACAUAGGGGGCAAGCGUUAUCCGGAAUUAUUGGGCGUAAAGGGUGCGUAGGCGGUUUAAUAAGUUUAAGGUAUAAGCUCAAGGCUCAACCUUGGGAGGCUUUAGAAACUGUUAAGCUAGAGUGCAGUAGAGGCAAGUGGAAUUCCAUGUGUAGCGGUAAAAUGCGUAAAUAUAUGGAGGAACACCAGUGGCGAAGGCGGCUUGCUGGGCUGUUGCUGACGCUGAGGCACGAAAGCGUGGGGAGCAAACAGGAUUAGAUACCCUGGUAGUCCACGCCGUAAACGAUGAGUACUAAGUGUUGGGAGAUCAGUGCUGAAGGAAACCUAAUAAGUACUCCGCCUGAGUAGUACGUGCGCAAGCAUGAAACUCAAAGGAAUUGACGGGACCCCGCACAAGCGGUGGAUCAUGUUGUUUAAUUCGAGGAUACGCGAAGAACCUUACCAGGUCUUGACAUCCUCUGCAAAGCUAUAGAGAUAUAGUGGAGGUUAACAGAGAGACAGGUGGUGCAUGGCC